rnacentral:rRNA from 1 species
AAUAUUGGACAAUGGGCGCAAGCCUGAUCCAGCCAUACCGCGUGGGUGAAGAAGGCCUUCGGGUUGUAAAGCCCUUUUGUUGGGAAAGAAAUCCAGCUGGUUAAUACCCGGUUGGGAUGACGGUACCCAAAGAAUAAGCACCGGCUAACUUCGUGCCAGCAGCCGCGGUAAUACGAAGGGUGCAAGCGUUACUCGGAAUUACUGGGCGUAAAGCGUGCGUAGGUGGUCGUUUAAGUCCGUUGUGAAAGCCCUGGGCUCAACCUGGGAACUGCAGUGGAUACUGGGCGACUAGAGUGUGGUAGAGGGUAGCGGAAUUCCUGGUGUAGCAGUGAAAUGCGUAGAGAUCAGGAGGAAUACCGGUGGCGAAGGCGGCCCCCUGGACGAAGA